GUAGGUGAACCUGCGGAAGGAUCAUUAAUAGAGUUAUGCCCUCUUUUUUGGGGGGUAAACCUUUCAACCCUUUGUUGUACUUGACUUUUGUUGCUUUGGCGGGUAGUAAGCUUUUUUCUAAGCUUUUCCAACUCCCGCCAGAGGAAAUUAAAACUCUUGAAUAUUUUGUUGUCCGAGUUUAAUAAACAAAAAUUAAAAAAACUUUCAACAACGGAUCUCUUGGUUCUG
rnacentral:misc_RNA from 1 species